rnacentral:rRNA from 1 species
GACGAACACUGGCGGCAGGCUUAACACAUGCAAGUCGAACGCAUCCUUCGGGGUGAGUGGCAGACGGGUGAGUAACGCGUGGGAACGUGCCCUUCAGUUCGGGAUAACCCAGGGAAACUUGGGCUAAUACCGGAUACGUGCGAGAGCAGAAAGAUUUAUCGCUGAAGGAUCGGCCCGCGUCUGAUUAGCUAGUUGGUGGGGUAAUGGCCCGCCAAGGCGACGAUCAGUAGCUGGUCUGAGAGGAUGAUCAGCCACAUUGGGACUGAGACACGGCCCAAACUCCUACGGGAGGCAGCAGUGGGGAAUAUUGGACAAUGGGCGCAAGCCUGAUCCAGCCAUGCCGCGUGAGUGAUGAAGGCCUUAGGGUUGUAAAGCUCUUUCGUCCGGGACGAUAAUGACGGUACCGGAAGAAGAAGCCCCGGCUAACUUCGUGCCAGCCGCCGCAGUAA